rnacentral:rRNA from 1 species
GUCCACGCCGUAAACGAUGUCGAUUUGGAGGCUGUGUCCUUGAGACGUGGCUUCCGGAGCUAACGCGUUAAAUCGACCGCCUGGGGAGUACGGCCGCAAGGUUAAAACUCAAAUGAAUUGACGGGGGCCCGCACAAGCGGUGGAGCAUGUGGUUUAAUUCGAUGCAACGCGAAGAACCUUACCUGGCCUUGACAUGUCUGGAAUCCCCAAGAGAUUGGGGAGUGCCUUCGGGAAUCAGAACACAGGUGCUGCAUGGCUGUCGU